rnacentral:tRNA from 1 species
CAAAGCGUAGCUUAAGCAUAAAGCAUCUAGCUUACACCUAGAAGAUUUCAUAUAUAUGACCGCUUUGA